AAACAUGAGAGGUAUAUGCUGAACUUAUUUAUGUUCGGAUCAACUCCUUAGAUAACGGUACUAGUUAUCUCAAUUUACUUCCCUGAGAUUUUAAGUGCUGCUGCUUGUUUCUGCAUAUCCAUUUCAUUAUGUGGUUACGCUUUUUUCAUUUUGAUACUGAUUACCUGCUUAGUAUUGAUUAUUUCUAAAAGUUCGUGCUGGUAUAUUUGUUCCUUUUCCCAAUGUAAGGAGUUGUUAAGUUCAGAGAGUGAGGACAUGUGAAGUUGGUUACUUUUUUGUGAUCUGCAAUACGCCACAUGAUCUGUUGAUGCUGCUAUAUUUCUGUUCUCAAAAUGCAAAUCCAUCCAGUUUUUGGUUUUGUUGGGUUGGUUGUUUAGUGUCAAGCAGUUGCAGUUCCACUCAUAUUUGGCAAUUGGAGACUUCAUCCUUUUAAGCCCCUUAAUAUGUAAUCAAAACAGGGGUGGUCUAUAGAAUUUAGAAUUCUCACUUUGUGUGUCUCAUGCCAUGUCCAUAAAUCCAUAUCAUAUUCCAUGUCCUGCCAAUGCCAAGUAUUUACAGUUCCUAUUAUCUAUUGGUUCUGUAAUAAUUUGUCAUGUAGUGAAGUCAAUUUCCUUAAUGAGAUUUUCGUUAUCUACCAUCUCACAGAAUUUGGCUAUUGGAUUCUUGCAGCUUUCCAAUCAUGGCUCUUCAGAACACUCAACAGUGAAGGUACAAGUUGAAAGAUCCAUUGAUUUAAGAUCCUAAGUAAGAAGCACUUUUAGUUUUAUUAUUCUUGGUUGCUGAUUUUCUAUGAAAAAAAUAAUAUAUAAAUAUAAAAAAGGCGUGUUGCUGGCCGAAAAUAAUGUUGUAGUUAUGAAAAUUGAGGAUCUUAUGAUGUAUGUUUUUGGCAGGGGUUUAGGAAACAAUUCAAGUGAUUACAUGAAAAUGGCAGAGUCGUUAAAGAAGGAAUAUGGUGUCCCCGUGCUAGUUGGUAAAGUUUCUUGACUUGACUGGCUAAGGAAUGUUGUUGGUUUGUCAUUGCCUGUAUUCGUGCAGGUUACUCCAGAAAUGCCCCUCCCAAGGACUACUCCUUGAAACCUAAGAAGUUGAUACAUAUGUUUGAUGCUUUCUCAUCCAUCUCCAUACUUGCAUCGCUUCUUGGGAAUGGGAUACUGCCCGAGAUCCAGGUAUUUUCAUAUCGAAAACCAAGGAAUGGUUUUGGAGGAUGAUCCUGAAUAUCAGCUCAUAGUUGAUUGCAAUGCUUUGUCAGUUUACAUGGGUUUGGUUAUACUUCUUCUUCUUCUUUUCCUUAUUUCUUUUUUAUUUUUGAAUGGGUUUAUAUAUAUAUAUAUAUAUAUAUACUAUUGGGUUUGGUUAUGAUUUUUCUAUUGGAUGGUUGAGACAUGGCUAUCUUAGUAAAACAAAAGAAAGUGUCUAAAAGCUCAAUGGUAAGAGUAAAUUUAUUACAUGUUGAACAUCAAUUGAUAGGGAGACCAAAUGAAUAAUAAAUGACUGUGACCAUCACACUCAUCGUCGUGGUAGUGGUUUUGCUCCUUCUCAAACUCACCAAUAUUAUUCUUUUUCAAAUGCCAAGUCAGGCUUAGAAAUUUUAUAAAAAAAUGUAGGAUGCGUUUCUGAAUUUUUUAUUGAAUUGGUGUUUUCUUGCCUUGAUAAUUUUUCCCACAAAAUUCUCUGUUUUCUACUAUGAGAUAUUGAAUUCCCCUGAGAGGUUAGACUUUCUUCGUUCUCAUCCUGAUGAAACUUGAGAUUGUAGCCAUAGAAGGACUUUCAUUUCUCAGUUUUUUUUUUCCAUUGAAUUGAUCUCCCUUAAAC